GCCCCCUCUUCCUCUGUUACGUCACUGCGUGUGUUCCGUCGUGAGUGAAUACAAUUGUGAUCACAAUAUCCGGUUUGAUCCGGUUAGAAUCUCUCCUGCUAGUAUGGCCAUAGCUACUUGAAAUUAUAACACAUUCCUAUUACCUGUUUCUUAUUUCAAUUAAGCUCAGUGCUGAACAACAGCUCGCGGUGUCUAAUCAUUCUUCAUGAAAACAU